rnacentral:piRNA from 1 species
UGAGCUGGCUGAAGACAAAGAGAACU